rnacentral:rRNA from 1 species
AUUGAACGCUGGCGGCAGGCCUAACACAUGCAAGUCGAACGAGUGGCGGACGGGUGAGUAAUGUCUGGGAAACUGCCUGAUGGAGGGGGGUAACUACUGGAAACGGUAGCUAAUACCGCAUACCAUCGGAUGUGCCCAGAUGGGAUUAGCUAGUUGGUGGGGUAACGGCUCACCAAGGCGACGAUCCCUAGCGGGUCUGAGAGGAUGACCAGCCAAACUGGAACUGAGACACGGUCCAGACUCCUACGAGAGGCAGCAGGGGGGAAUAUUGCACAAUGGGCGCAAGCCUGAUGCAGCCAUGCCGCGUGUAUGAAGAAGGCCUUCGGGUUGUAAAGUACUUUCAGCGGGGAGGCGUUACCCGCAGAAGAAGCACCGGCUAACUACGUGCCAGCAGCCGCGGUAAUAC